rnacentral:rRNA from 1 species
AUUGAACGCUGGCGGCAGGCCUAACACAUGCAAGUCGAACGAGUGGCGGACGGGUGAGUAAUGUCUGGGAAACUGCCUGAUGGAGGGGGAUAACUACUGGAAACGGUAGCUAAUACCGCAUACCAUCGGAUGUGCCCAGAUGGGAUUAGCUAGUGGGUGGGGUAAAGGCUUACCUAGGCGACGAUCCCUAGCUGGUCUGAGAGGAUGACCAGCCACACUGGAACUGAGACACGGUCAAGUCUCCUACGGGAGGCAGCAGGGGGGAAUAGUGGACAAUGGGGUCAAGCCUGAUGGAUGAAUGCCGCGUGUAUGAAGAAGGCGUUGGGGUCGUAAAGUACUUUCAGCGGGGAGGUGGUACCCGCAGAAGAAGCACCGUCUAACUCCGUGCCAGCAGCCGCGGUAAUUC